AUUGAACGCUGGCGGCAGGCCUAACACAUGCAAGUCGAGCGGAUGAAGGGAGCUUGCUCCUGGAUUCAGCGGCGGACGGGUGAGUAAUGCCUAGGAAUCUGCCUGUCAUUGGGGGAUAACGUCCGGAAACGGGCGCUAAUCCCGCAUACGUCCUUAGGUUGAAAGGGGGGGAUCUUCGGACCUCACGCUAUCAGAUGAGCCUAGGUCGGAUUAGCUAGUUGGUGGGGUAAAGGCCUACCAAGGCGACGAUCCGUAACUGGUCUGAGAGGAUGAUCAGUCACACUGGAACUGAGACACGGUCCAGACUCCUACGGGAGGCAGCAGUGGGGAAUAUUGGACAAUGGGCGAAAGCCUGAUCCAGCCAUGCCGCGUGUGUGAAGAAGGUCUUCGGAUUGUAAAGCACUUUAAGUUGGGAGGAAGGGCAGUAAGUUAAUACCUUGCUGUUUUGACGUUACCAACAGAAUAAGCACCGGCUAACUUCGUG
rnacentral:rRNA from 1 species